UGGAGACGUGAUGGCAUCUCCCGUAUCCUUCUGGUCAGUUUUCUCAAUACAAGACGGUGUGCCAUCCCACAACGAAGACGUGAUGGCGUCUCCCGUACUGUUCUGGUUAGUUUUCUCUAGAUUUGGUUCUUUAAUUAUUUAUUUUCUUCAGAUUUUACAUGGAAGGUAAGCAUCACGUACAUGAGAAAUUUCAGGGGAUAGAAAUUAUUAAGUUCCAUAACUUCAUACUUGGAAGGUCGUGGCUGAACGGGGAAAAUCGAAAUACAUGCCGCUGAAAAGAGUUUAAUGUAGCCACAAAUCACUCGGGCUCCUAUCAAAAUCGGUCGUCUUCCUCCUUAUUUGCAUCUACCUGAGACCCCACGGAAAAUUGGCUGCAGUACUAGCCUUCCGUAGUCUCGCGGCUCGGGUUUUCUUGGCGCCUCGGCUGUGGAUCGAAAUACAUGCCGCUGAAAAGAAUUUAAUGUAGCAACAAAUUACUCGGGAUUCCUACCAAAAUCACGGUCGUCUUCCUCCUGAUUUCAUCUAGCUGAGGCGCCACGGAAGAUUGGCCGCAGUCUUGCGGCUCUGGUUUUCUUGGCGACUCGGACGUGGGGUGCGGGAGCGCUGGACUGCAUGCAGUUCCGACGGUCCAUCUUCGCAUGAUGCAUCACGUAAGAACUGAUAAUCAACAUCAACCAUUGCUUUUGAAGAUGCAGAGGGCGGACAACCAUGGAUUCCUGGUACGUUUUCAGUUCAGAGGUCAAUCAAUUGGGAUCGAGAACCUAAAAACUGGGGCCGCGUUCCAGCCAUCGAUCCUUGGCGUUCCACGUCUCCACGCCGACUAUGAGCUAUGAGCUGGACGUUGGCGAACGACAAGGAUCCAUAGUUAUAUUAAUCUACAUGAUGAAAUUGCUUGAGAUAUAGAAGAAUAUUCAACAAAGAUUAACAUGGGGCGAUCAAGUAUAGGUGCAAUCCACCUCUGUGUUUUCAGCGACAAAAUUUAAUUAAUGACUAUUCAUGUUCUUUCAGUUGGCUCUUGGUUUGUAUGGGAACAACAUAAACACUUGACCAGGAUCGUAAUUUGUUUGUACAUCCUGAUUUUAUAAGCUGCUGUUGAAACUGCACAGAAAUUGUUGGUAUUCUACAUGAAUUGGUACCAAAUCUGCAUUGGAACAAUACAAAUUUAAACGGAAGGAGGGAAUAUCGAAGACUUCCUCUCUCUCUUUAUAAUUGACAAUCAUAUGCUACUGGAGUGGCCACACACAGGCACUCUACUAUAUUUUAUUAUAAGUGCAAGCUGGAGGUGGAGAACAUGGAUUCGUACUGACAUUAAUCUCCUGAUGAUUACUUGAGAGAGGGAAUAGUAUUCAACAAAGAGUAAC